rnacentral:rRNA from 1 species
AAUGAACGUUGGCGGCGUGGAUUAGGCAUGCAAGUCGAGCGCUCAUAGCAAUAUGGGAGCGGCGAACGGCGUAGGAAUUCAUAGGAACGUACCCUCAGGUCGGGGAUAGCUACGGGAAACUGUAGGUAAUACCCGAUUAUCUCCGUGGAGCAAAGGUGUGAUUCCGCCUGAGGAGCGGCUUAUGCGAUAUUAGCUAGUUGGUGGGGUAAUGGCCUACCAAGGCAAAGAUGUCUAGGGGGUGUGAGAGCAUGGCCCCCACGACCGGAACUGAGACACUGUCCGGACACCUACGGGAGGCAGCAGUGAGGAAUAUUGCGCAAUGGAGGCAACUCUGACGCAGCCAUGCCGCGUGCAGGAAGAAGGCGCUACGCGUUGUAAACUGCUUUUACCCGGGAAGAAACCCCUCUACGUGUGGAGGGUUGACGGUACCGGAGGAAUAAGCACCGGCUAACUUCGUGCCAGCAGCCGCGGU